GCGAGCCUCCCAGGAUUCUCAAACAGAAGCAGCCUGCCAGGCUGAGCCAUCCAGAAGACCCCCUCCCUCUUCCCUGAGCUCUGUUUCUUCCAUGAGGUUGAAGAAAAAUGCCGUCGUGGUCCCCUGCCUGCUUACUCAGCGUGUCAAGCAGGAGUUCUCAGCUCCAGUGUGCCAUGGAGGGCCUUGGGAAGAGGUCACAUACCAUUCCCAUCCCCAGGCACAGGAGCACUGAGGACCCUUCUUGACCUCCUGGAUCAGAAAGGCAGAGGAAAUGCUGGGCAGAAGUCAAGGUGUCAGUGGGCUGCCCUCCCUCCGGAGGCUCCAGGGGAGAAUCUAUUCCUCGCCUCUUCCAAUUGCUGGUGGCUGAUGGCACACCUUGGCUUGUGGCCACAAUACUCCAAUUUCUGCCUCCAUGGUCACACUGACUUCAUUUCUUCUGUGUGCAUCAAAUUUCUCUCUGCUCUGUGAUUGCAUUUAGGGCCCCUGGAUCAGCAAUGUCAUAAAAGACCCCAGUUCUUCAAA
rnacentral:lncRNA from 1 species